rnacentral:rRNA from 1 species
GACGAACGCUGGCGGCGUGCUUAACACAUGCAAGUCGAACGGAAAGGCCCUGCUUUUGUGGGGUGCUCGAGUUGCGAACGGGUGAGUAACACGUGAGUAACCUGCCCUUGACUUUGGGAUAACUUCAGGAAACUGGGUCUAAUACCGGAUAGGAGCUCCUGCUGCAUGGUGGGGGUUGGAAAGUUUCGGUGGUUGGGGAUGGACUCGCGGCUUAUCAGCUUGUUGGUGGGGUAGUGGCUUACCAAGGCUUUGACGGGUAGCCGGCCUGCGAGGGUGACAGGCCACAUUGGGACUGAGAUACGGCCCAGACUACUACGGGAGGCAGCAGUGGGGAAGAGUGCACAAGGGGCGGAAGCCUGAUGCAGCAACGCCGCGUGGGGGAUGACGGCCUUCGGGUUGGAAACCGAUGUCGCCUGUGACGAAGCGUGAGUGACGGUAAUGGGUAAAGAAGCACCGGCUAACUACGUG